ACGAGUGAAGGUGGUGAUCUCCUGCAGGACUGUUUAGGUGCUGUGAACAGCUUAUUUUUGACCAUGUUUGAAUUUAUUCUUACUUUUCUCUACUCACUCCCCACUUUCUCCACUCACUACCCACUUUCUCCAUUUUCCCCACUCUCCCCACUUUCCCCACUUUACCCACUCAUGUUCCCCACUCUCCCCAAAAAAUAUUUCCUCCACCCACUCUUCAUCAUUCUCUCUACAUAAAAACACACACACACAACAGAAAGAGGACGGACAACAAAAAUUCGGAAUUCCCCAUUUCUCUUUCCUCAAUAACUUUUCCCAAAAACGAUAAAGACAUAUGGCCGAUUAUCUUUGAUUUCAAUUCUUAAGGGAAUAAUUUUAAGAUUUCAGAUCUGGGUUUGGUAUGGUUUAGCUGAUUUUCCUUACAAAUAGGUCAAUUCAAGUCCAAGAAGUUGAAGAAAGUCACAAGAUUAUGCUAACAUCCUGAAAUCUUACAUUUGGAAUUCAGAGGAAACUACAGUAUAGCAGAUAUUGCAACUACAAACUUCAUCAUAUUUUUCCAGAAUACCCCACAACAGGAAGUGUGGGGGGGAGUGUACAGGGUGCUGAAAUGUUGAGAGGUUGUUAUUUAAGGGAGAUCAAGCUUCCAAGAUCAUCAUAUAAUCGCCAAGUUCUUGAAAAUAGAAAGAUGUGGAUACAGUUUCUUGUUCUGACUAAGUCGAAAUCAUGGAAGUAGUGUUCCUAGGGAUAUAUAUGAAGAAAGAUCGCUAUUUGAAAAUGACUGUGUUUAACGCCUUAGCUUAUUUUGAAAAGUACUUUUGUCAAAAGAAAUUUAAGAAAAGUAUAUUAGAAUAGUGGUCAUUUGCGUUUGGCCAAAUAAUUUAAG